GGGGCUGUAGCUCAGUAGGAUAGAGCGAUCGCCUCCUAAGCGAUAGGCCGUGGGUUCGAUUCCCGCCAGUCCCG
rnacentral:tRNA from 2 species